rnacentral:rRNA from 1 species
CGGACGGGUGAGUAAUGUCUGGGAAACUGCCUGAUGGAGGGGGAUAACUACUGGAAACGGUAGCUAAUACCGCAUAACGUCGCAAGACCAAAGAGGGGGACCUUAGGGCCUCUUGCCAUCGGAUGUGCCCAGAUGGGAUUAGCUAAUAGGUGGGGUAACGGCUCACCUAGGCGACGAUCCCUAGCUGGUCUGAGAGGAUGACCAGCCACACUGGAACUGAGACACGGUCCAG